GAUGAACGCUGGCGGCGUGCCUAAUACAUGCAAGUCGAGCGAACAGACGAGGAGCUUGCUCCUCUGACGUUAGCGGCGGACGGGUGAGUAACACGUGGAUAACCUACCUAUAAGACUGGGAUAACUUCGGGAAACCGGAGCUAAUACCGGAUAAUAUAUUGAACCGCAUGGUUCAAUAGUGAAAGACGGUUUUGCUGUCACUUAUAGAUGGAUCCGCGCCGCAUUAGCUAGUUGGUAAGGUAACGGCUUACCAAGGCAACGAUGCGUAGCCGACCUGAGAGCGAGAUCGGCCACACUGGAACUGAGACACGGCCCAGACUCCUACGGGAGGCAGCAGUAGGGAAUCUUCCGCGAUGGGCGAAAGCCUGACGGAGCAACGCCGCGUGAGUGAUGAAGGUCUUCGGAUCGUAAAACUCUGUUAUUAGGGAAGAACAAAUGUGUAAGUAACUAUGCACGUCUUGACGGUACCUAAUCAGAAAGCCACGGCUAACUACGUG
rnacentral:rRNA from 1 species